rnacentral:rRNA from 1 species
AAAUUGAAGAGUUUGAUCAUGGCUCAGAUUGAACGCUGGCGGCAGGCCUAACACAUGCAAGUCGAACGGUAACAGGAAGCAGCUUGCUGCUUYGCUGACGAGUGGCGGACGGGUGAGUAAUGUCUGGGAAACUGCCUGAUGGAGGGGGAUAACUACUGGAAACGGUGGCUAAUACCGCAUAACGUCGCAAGACCAAAGAGGGGGACCUUCGGGCCUCUUGCCAUCAGAUG